AAUGGAGACAAAAUUAACCGAACAGGAGAGCCGCUCACGACGAGAAAAUAUCCGCCUAUAUGGGAUUUCAGAAGGGGCCGAAAAGGAUAGUGCAUCAGUGACUGAGUUUGUAGAACAACUGCUGGGAAAUAACCUCGACAUUGCUGAUACAACAACUCUACAAAUCGAGGGAGCCCAUCGCUCACUUGGACCUAAGCCACCGCCACACGCACAGCCAAGAUCUAUCGUUGUCAAAUUCGCCAGCUUCCGAACCAAAGAGAUGGUACCAUAAAGCAUGGCAAAAGAAGGGCUUGAUGUUGGAAGAAACACGUAUUAAUGUUGACAAUGAUUACCCGCCACGCAUUCUGCAAAGGCGAAAAGAAUAUACGGAAGAGAGAAGAUAUACGACACCGUGGAAGAGGCAACGAAAGAUUUGUCCAAGAAGGGAUUCAACGUCGUG
ensembl:lncRNA